GGACGGUGCGCUGCACAGAUUGCACAAACUCAUUGAAACAUUUCCAGCUGUUCACUAACAGUGUUACAUUUUCUGCAAUUUUCAAUUUCAUGGGAGAAUACGUAAGUAAGAUAGAGAACAACUAUCGACAUUCUAAACAUAUGGUAAUGUUAACUUGUUGAAUAGGAAAGACGAAUACCUAAUUUUUCAAGAAGAAGAAAACGAAAAGCGCACUUUAUUUUGGAUUUUAAAGAGGUAAGUUCGUUGCUUGGGAAUUUGAUAUUUUAUAAUUAAUUUCUAUUAUAUACAUAUAUGUAUAUAUAUUAUUAAUUUCUUUUAUAUAGAGAAAACGAAAAAGCUUGGAGAAAAAGAUAAGCAUUGAAUUGAAUCAUCACAAAUUGUGAUACCGUCACCAUCGCCGCAACGCACGUGCGCUUCGUGCAAGACAAUCUUUCACAAAAGGAAAGCACUGAUGCUAUGAUGCGGCUAAUAUUGAAAUCAAAGGGCGCAAAAGACAGUGUGGACAGUGUGUUUUCUGGCGAUCUAAUAUACCACUACAAUUUAGAGAGGCGCAAGGAGAAGGAAUCCCUACUAAAGCUAAAGUGCGUAGGGUAAGUUUUUGAAAUAAUUCCUGACAAGGACAAAAACACUAUCUGUGGGGAGCUCUGGAGAUUUGUGACUUUAAGCCACAAUCGUUUUUAACAAAAAACAUAAACUUAAGGCUAAAUUAACCCUUAGCCACCUAACGCCGGUCACAGUGAUUCUACGUUUUCUUACAAAAUUCGUAUAACAAUGAAUAAAAAAUGUUAUUGAAGUAUGAAACUUCUUUUAAGUUAAUUUUUUGUUAAUAUUAAAUAAAAGGUACAAAAGAGUUGAUGUGCGGGUUUUGCGUGUUUUAUUAUUAUAUUUAUACUUUAAACACUAAAAUUAAGUUAACUUUGACCGACGUUAGGUGGUAGAGUGUUUAAAAAACACGUUAGGUGGCUAAG